rnacentral:rRNA from 1 species
ACGAACGCUGGCGGCGUGCUUAACACAUGCAAGUCGAACGGUGAACUCCGCUUGCGGGGGGAUCAGUGGCGAACGGGUGAGUAACACGUGGGCAACCUGCCCUCAGCUCUGGGAUAACUCCAAGAAAUUGGGGCUAAUACCGGAUAUGACCGCUGACCGCAUGGUCUGGUGGUGGAAAGAUUUAUCGGCUGGGGAUGGGCCCGCGGCCUAUCAGCUAGUUGGUGGGGUAGUGGCCUACCAAGGCGACGACGGGUAGCCGGCCUGAGAGGGUGACCGGCCACACUGGGACUGAGACACGGCCCAGACUCCUACGGGAGGCAGCAGUGGGGAAUAUUGCGCAAUGGGCGAAAGCCUGACGCAGCGACGCCGCGUGGGGGAUGACGGCCUUCGGGUUGUAAACCUCUUUCAGCAGGGACGAAGCGAAAGUGACGGUACCUGCAGAAGAAGCACCGGCCAACUACGUG